CGGGGGGAGCAAGCGUUGUUCGGAUUUACUGGGCGUAAAGGGCGCGUAGGCGGCCACCGCAAGUCGACUGUGAAAUCUCCGGGCUUAACCCGGAAAGGUCAGCCGAUACUGCGGGGCUAGAGUGCAGAAGGGGCAACUGGAAUUCUCGGUGUAGCGGUGAAAUGCGUAGAUAUCGAGAGGAACACCUGCGGCGAAGGCGGGCUGCUGGGCUGACACUGACGCUGAGGCGCGAAAGCUAGGGGAGCGAACGGGAUUAGAUACCCCGGUAGUCCUAGCCUUAAACGAUGAAUGCUUGGUGUCUGGGGUUUUAUAGUCCCCGGGUGCCGUCGCUAACGCUUUAAGCAUUCCGCCUGGGGAGUACGGUCGCAAGACUGAAACUCAAAGGAAUUGACGGGGACCCGCACAAGCGGUGGAGCAUGUGGUUUAAUUCGACGCAACGCGAAGAACCUUACCUGGGCUAGAAUGCCUCUGACAACCCUAGAGAUAGGGCCUUCUGGGUAAAACCAGACAGAGUGCAAGGUGCUGCAUGGCUG
rnacentral:rRNA from 1 species